UACGUAGGGUGCGAGCGUUAAUCGGAAUUACUGGGCGUAAAGCGUGCGCAGGCGGUUCGCCAAGUCAGGUGUGAAAUCCCCGGGCUUAACCUGGGAAUUGCGCUUGAAACUAGCGGGCUUGAGUGUGGCAGAGGGGGGUGGAAUUCCACGUGUAGCAGUGAAAUGCGUAGAUAUCUGGAGGAACACCGGUGGCGAAGGCGGCAUCCUGGACCAACACUGACGCUGAGGAGCGAAAGCGUGGGGAGCAAACAGG
rnacentral:rRNA from 1 species